AUGUAUAAGUAUAAACGAUUUUAAUCGUGAAACCGCGAACGGCUCAUUAUAACAGCUAUAAUUUACUUGAUCUUGACAAUCCUACUUGGAUAACUGUGGUAAUUCUAGAGCUAAUACAUGCACCAAAGCUCUGACCUUGCAGAAGGGAAGAGUGCAUUUAUUAUUUGAAAACCAAGCGGCUUCGGUCGUUUUUUGUUGACUCAGAAUAACUAAGCUGAUCGCAUGGUCUUGUACCGGCGACGUGUCUUUCAAGUAUCUGCCUUAUCAACUUUCGAUGGUAGUGUAUUUGACUACCAUGGUGGUGACGGGUAACGGAGGAUAAGGGUUCGACUCCGGAGAAGGGGCCUGAGAAAUGGCCACUACGUCUAAGGAUGGCAGCAGGCGCGCAAAUUACCCACUCUCAGAACAUUGAGGAGGUAGUGACGAAAAAUAACGAGACCGUUCUCUACGAGGCCGGUCAUCGGAAUGGGUACAAUCUAAACCCUUUAACGAGUAUCUAUGAGAGGGCAAGUCUGGUGCCAGCAGCCGCGGUAAUUCCAGCUCUCAAAAUGCAUAGAAUUAUUGCUGCGGUUAAAAAGCUCGUAGUUGGAUCUGUGCCAGGGAGUCGGUCGUACUUUCGAGUGCGUACUGCUAACCCGGGCUUUGCUUGCCGGUUUUCUCCUCGUCGGUCUUAAUCGACUGCGGGGGGUGGCUGGCGAUUUUACUUUGAACAAAUCAGAGUGCUUAACACAGGCGUUUCGCUUGAAUGUUCUUGCAUGGAAUAAUAGAAAAGGAUUUCGGUUCUAUUUUAUUGGUUUUAUAGACUGAGAUAAUGGUUAACAGAGACAAACGGGGGCAUUCGUAUUGCUGCGUGAGAGGUGAAAUUCUUGGACCGCAGMAAGACGMACUACAGCGAAAGCAUUUGCCAAGAAUGUCUUCAUUAAUCAAGAACGAAAGUCAGAGGWUCGAAGGCGAUCAGAUACCGCCCUAGUUCUGACCGUAAACGAUGCCAACUAGCGAUCUGUCGGCGGCGUUUUUUCGCUCUGAUAGGGAGCUUCCCGGAAACGAAAGUCUUCCGGUUCCGGGGGAAGUAGUUGCAAAGCUGAAACUUAAAGGAAGACGGAAAGGCACCACCAGGAGUGGAGCCUGCGGCUUAAUUUGACUCAACACGGGAAACCUCACCCGGGCCGGACACCAUAAGGAUUGACAAAUUGACAGCUUUUUCAUGAUUCGGUGGUUGGUGGUGCAUGGCCGUUCUUAGUUCGUGGAGCGAUUUGUCUGGUUUAUUCCGAUAACGAGCGAGACUCUAGUGCUAAAUAGUUGGCGCAUUACACUGUGCGCCCUAACUUCUUAGAGGGAUUUACGGCGUUUAGCCGCAAGAGAAUGAGCAAUAAGGUCUGUGAUGCCCUUAGAUGUCCGGGGCUGCACGCGCGCUACACUGGCGGAAUCAGUGUUCUCACCUCCUGUCGAAAGACUAUGGGUGAAAAUCCGCCGUGAUUGGGAUCGGAAAUUGAAAAUUUUCCGUGAAAGGAAUUCCAAGUAAGUGCGAGUCAUUAACUCGUUGAUUACGUCCCUGCCCUUUGUACACAGCCCGUCGCUACCCGGGACUGAGUUAUUUCGAGAAAUUUGAAGAUCGGUGGGCUGUGCGGUGCCUCCGGGUGCUGCCUCUCGUCGAGAAUCAACUUAAUCGAGAUGGCUUGAACCGGGU
rnacentral:rRNA from 1 species